ensembl:snoRNA
GCAUGGGCUUGGAUUUAUGACAGGCCUGUUCCCCUGAGUUCUCAUAGUGUCCACGCCAGAGCAAAACGUGACCCUGAACCAUUAUCUAGCCUCUGUCCAUAGGUUGCCGGCACUGAAGCAGGUUGCACAAUA